GACGAACGCUGGCGGCGUGCUUAACACAUGCAAGUCGAACGGUGAUGCUCCAGCUUGCUGGAGUGGAUCAGUUGCGAACGGGUGAGUAACACGUGAGCAACCUGCCCCAGACUCUGGAAUAAGCGCUGGAAACGGCGUCUAAUACUGGAUACGAAACUGGCCCGCAUGGGCAUGGUUUGGAAAGUUUUUCGGUUUGGGUUGGGCUCGCGGCCUAUCAGCUUGUUGGUGAGGUAAUGGCUCACCAAGGCGACGACGGGUAGCCGGCCUGAGAGGGCGACCGGCCACACUGGGACUGAGACACGGCCCAGACUCCUACGGGAGGCAGCAGUGGGGAAUAUUGCACAAUGGGCGAAAGCCUGAUGCAGCGACGCCGCGUGAGGGAUGACGGCCUUCGGGUUGUAAACCUAUUUCAGCAGGGAAGAAGCGAAAGUGACGGUACCUGCAGAAGAAGCACCGGCUAACUACGUG
rnacentral:rRNA from 1 species